rnacentral:rRNA from 1 species
AGAGUUUGAUCCUGGCUCAGGAUGAACGCUGGCGGCGUGCCUAAUACAUGCAAGUCGAGCGAACGGACGAGAAGCUUGCUUCUCUGAUGUUAGCGGCGGACGGGUGAGUAACACGUGGAUAACCUACCUAUAAGACUGGGAUAACUUCGGGAAACCGGAGCUAAUACCGGAUAAUAUUUUGAACCGCAUGGUUCAAAAGUGAAAGACGGUCUUGCUGUCACUUAUAGAUGGAUCCGCGCUGCAUUAGCUAGUUGGUAAGGUAACGGCUUACCAAGGCAACGAUGCAUAGCCGACCUGAGAGGGUGAUCGGCCACACUGGAACUGAGACACGGUCCAGACUCCUACGGGAGGCAGCAGUAGGGAAUCUUCCGCAAUGGGCGAAAGCCUGACGGAGCAACGCCGCGUGAGUGAUGAAGGUCUUCGGAUCGUAAAACUCUGUUAUUAGGGAAGAACAUAUGUGUAAGUAACUGUGCACAUCUUGACGGUACCUAAUCAGAAAGCCACGGCUAACUACGUGCCAGCAGCCGCGGUAAUACGUAGGUGGCAAGCGUUAUCCGGAAUUAUUGGGCGUAAAGCGCGCGUAGGCGGUUUUUUAAGUCUGAUGUGAAAGCCCACGGCUCAACCGUGGAGGGUCAUUGGAAACUGGGAAACUUGAGUGCAGAAGAGGAAAGUGGAAUUCCAUGUGUAGCGGUGAAAUGCGCAGAGAUAUGGAGGAACACCAGUGGCGAAGGCGACUUUCUGGUCUGUAACUGACGCUGAUGUGCGAAAGCGUGGGGAUCAAACAGGAUUAGAUACCCUGGUAGUCCACGCCGUAAACGAUGAGUGCUAAGUGUUAGGGGGUUUCCGCCCCUUAGUGCUGCAGCUAACGCAUUAAGCACUCCGCCUGGGGAGUACGACCGCAAGGUUGAAACUCAAAGGAAUUGACGGGGACCCGCACAAGCGGUGGAGCAUGUGGUUUAAUUCGAAGCAACGCGAAGAACCUUACCAAAUCUUGACAUCCUUUGACAACUCUAGAGAUAGAGCCUUCCCCUUCGGGGGACAAAGUGACAGGUGGUGCAUGGUUGUCGUCAGCUCGUGUCGUGAGAUGUUGGGUUAAGUCCCGCAACGAGCGCAACCCUUAAGCUUAGUUGCCAUCAUUAAGUUGGGCACUCUAAGUUGACUGCCGGUGACAAACCGGAGGAAGGUGGGGAUGACGUCAAAUCAUCAUGCCCCUUAUGAUUUGGGCUACACACGUGCUACAAUGGGCAAUACAAAGGGCAGCGAAACCGCGAGGUCAAGCAAAUCCCAUAAAGUUGUUCUCAGUUCGGAUUGUAGUCUGCAACUCGACUACAUGAAGCUGGAAUCGCUAGUAAUCGUAGAUCAGCAUGCUACGGUGAAUACGUUCCCGGGUCUUGUACACACCGCCCGUCACACCACGAGAGUUUGUAACACCCGAAGCCGGUGGAGUAACCUUUUAGGAGCUAGCCGUCGAAGGUGGGACAAAUGAUUGGGGUGAAGUCGUAACAAGGUAGCCGUAUCGGAAGGUGCGGCUGGAUCACCU